GCAAGUCGAACGGAAAACACAAUAGCUUGCUAAUGUGUUUUCAGUGGCGGACGGGUUAGUAACACGUGAGCAACCUGCCCCGAAGCGGGGGAUAGCCUUCCGAAAGGGAGAUUAAUACCGCAUAUGGCCUACGGGUCAAAGGAGCCUUCGGGUUUCACUUCGGGAUGGGCUCGCGGCCUAUCAGCUAGUUGGUGAGGUAAAGGCUCACCAAGGCAACGACGGGUAGCUGGUCUGAGAGGAUGAUC
rnacentral:rRNA from 1 species